rnacentral:rRNA from 1 species
ACCUGAUGCAGCGACGCCGCGUGAAGGAGAAGGUCUUCGGAUUGUAAACUCCUGUUGUUGAGGAAGAUAAUGACGGUACUCAACAAGGAAGUGACGGCUAACUACGUGCCAGCAGCCGCGGUAAAACGUAGGUCACAAGCGUUGUCCGGAAUUACUGGGUGUAAAGGGAGCGCAGGCGGGAAGACAAGUUGGAAGUGAAAUCCAUGGGCUCAACCCAUGAACUGCUUUCAAAACUGUUUUUCUUGAGUAGUGCAGAGGUAGGCGGAAUUCCCGGUGUAGCGGUGGAAUGCGUAGAUAUCGGGAGGAACACCAUUGGCAAAGGCGGCCUACUGGGCACCAACUGACGCUGAGGCUCGAAAGUGUGGGUAGCAAACAGGAUUAGAUACCCUGGUAGUCCACACUGUAAACGAUGAUUACUAGGUGUUGGAGGAUUGACCCCUUCAGUGCCGCAG